UUACUGAUGAAACACAUUGCAUGAAUUGCAGACGAAUACUGAUGAAUUGCACAGCCCUACUCUCCUACGCGCGCACACACACACACACACACACACACUCUCACUCUCUCUCUGUUUGUCCCUCUUUCAAUUUGUUUAGCCUAUUUCUAUUUGCAUUCUUUCAAUAUGGCAUCUUCAGGUUUUGACCAGUUAUGCCAGGAAGCUGCAACUAUUUCAAAGCAUCUUGAAAUGAAAGCUGACAAUGCUGAACUUGAAGCAGCUACCAGGGAGGCUGAAGAAAUUCUACAAAUGUUCAAUCCUCCACUGCUGAAAAAGAAGACCAAACGAGCGAUUUUCUGGACUCAACAGACACAGUGAACUUUGCACUGCAUUUCAAAGCCAGCUUCUCAGCCGCAACACCGAGAACCAGAGUUGAAGUCAAUGUACUGCUGAGAAAGUGCAAGAUCUAUUUAACCAAAAAUAUAAGGAUGCUGGAGGUACUGGAAGGCUCCCCUACCAAUCUCUGGUAAAUCAAGGCAUGACAGUUAAAGUUGCAGGACUGCCCAACAGCCUCAAAAAGCCAUCCUAUUAUGUAGGGUGACCAUACGUGCCAUUCUUCCCGGACGCAUCCCAUCCAGGAUUUCGGUGCGUCUUCCGGAAGUCGUAUUUGUUGACCGCAUACGCCAUUCAGUUAAAAACAUAAGAUAUACAAUCGUAGUUUCAUUCUUCCCUUAAAAUGUAACGGUUGCUUUUCUGUAAUAAUAAUAAUAAUAAUUCUCUAUGACGUAUGCGGUCGACAAAUACGACUUCCGGAAGACGAACACAAAAUCCUGGACGGGAUGCGUCCGGGAAGAAUGGCACGUAUGGUCACCCUAUAUUAUGGAAGGAACCAGUUGGAGGCCAUUUUGCAAGCUGCUGAGGAGAUUUCAUUUGAAAUCAAUGCAGCACAAUGCAACUCCACUGACAAAGCAGAAGGAAUGUCAGAGGCGAUGGAUGCAGAAGAGCUGGAAGAACAGUCCUCAGAAACAACCACUACUGUAGCUAUUGUGAUGACUGCAGAUUAAGAUGGACGCCAUUUGUGCUGUGUCUGCCGUGUCCUUUUCGAUGACAGGAAGAAGAAUGCUUCGUGUUCAUGGUCACAGUGCACAGUGUGCCAAUCAUGGUCACACACUGCAUGUCAAGACACCAUGCAAACAGCCUGUAGCGCUGCAUCAGUGAUAGGAAACAUGCUAGUUACACAAGAUGUUUUAUGUUUUAACUUUGAGUUGUUUUUAAUUGUUCAUGACCCCAUCCCUACAAACACACACACAUAUUUUUUUUAUUUUUAUGUAUUAGGUGCAAUUUAAUAUUUUUCAUGCAAAUGUAAUUUGAUAUCGAAAAGUUGGUUUAUGUCAGAGCAGUAGUGAUACUUGUGGAUACUUUGAUAUACAACUGAACAGUACAAUUUAAAUAUAAUGGUUGCUAUGAACGAUGAUGAUGUUGUGUAUCUGCUUUAUCAAAGUGAUUUUCGUCCAUCAUACAGAUGAAGUUGAAGCAAAUCUCUAUUACCAAAUUUAAUGUUAUGAAAAGAACCAUCAUGACAGAAAUAUAUAUUAAUAUAUGAAUUGAAAGUAAUACAAAAAAAAUGAGACCAGAAACCCAUCAUGAGUUAAAAAACUGGCUAUGCUCAGUUGUAAGGACUUUUUUGAAAUGAUUAAUUUCACAUUAUGUGUCAUUUUGUGUUUUAAAUUAAAGUGACAACACAAGUUACAAAAUUUGGUGUUCCAAUAAUAAAACUGAUUGUGUUGUUUUAACACAUCUGUUUUUAAAUUGUAUUUAUUACUCUACAGUAUGCUGUAGCAUUCAUUAACAAAGUUUUAAAUAAUAUAAACUGUACACUUUACUAUAGUAUGGGUAUUUACUAUAAAUUACUUUAGUACUUUUUAUGUGGGCAGAAUUUUUAUGACUGGACUGACACACCUGAUCCACAUACAUUCACGGUAUAGUUUGCAUACUGCUCAGGCCUGUCUUUCUGCUUAGAAAGAAGGAACAUGAAACAAUACAUAGGCUUCCUAAACUGUAUUUGGCACACAUAGCUGAACUCUUUCUCAAAGUGACAGGUUUGGAAGGAGGGGAAUGGUGCUCUAAUGGAUAAACAAAAUAGGCCUGUUUGCCAUUUUUAGUUGAGCUCAAAAGAAAACAUUUAAACAAAAAUAAAUAGGCUACAAAAGAUGCAAGAGAGCAUACAUUAUGUACAUUAUGUAGCAAACAUUGUGUAUAAUGUUUGUUAAUCUGGGUUUUGACAACCAAUAGGCCUAAUAAUCAUUUACUAGCCUACAAUCGGAGAUGGCUACCCAUCAGACUAUGGUCUUAUUUAUUAAUGGGAUGUUUUUAAUUUAAUUAUCAUAGCAGCAUUAACAUAUGCAUAUAAGCCCAAACAGAAAUGCACAGUUUGUGUGUGUGGCCAACACCAGGUAUUCAUCAAGGUGUGGGGUCUGUUUACACAGCCAGAAACAAACAAACAGCUUUAUUUUAUCUAACUCUAACCUUAUUGAGCCUUCAAAGUGCUCUCUGACACUACACCUGAGAUGGCUUGUGUACUUGAAAUUAGAACAUGAAAAGUUUGUUGUAGAGCUAAGCCAAAUACAUAGUUAGAAAGGUCUUGACCUGCAGAAUAACAUAUGUCAGUAUAAAGAAUCUACAUGGCUCCUGCUUUGAAAUACGGACCUUUGAAACAUCACCUUGGUGCAUUUUUGAAGGCUUAUAAUUAGGCAAAAAAAGGGGCUAUAGACAUGGGACAAACUCUUAAUGAGAGCUCUUGGCCUCAGUUAUAAUGUCAAUAUACAGACGUGAACUUUGUCUGUUGCUUUAAGGACAAUUUCUUUAAUGUUAUGUGUGUUUGUGCAUAAUUGCGAAGUAAGUGGAUCUUAUUUGACUUCGGUAAUGACCAAACCUGUGUUCUGUUUGACUUCUCUUUCUUAUAUUUGCCAUCAUAACGUGAAUUGGUUUAUAAGCUUAAUAAUUAAUAUUUAAACGGUUUAACGUGGUAAAUUAAUUCUGUUACGCUUAUAUUUCAAGUAUGUCAUUGUCAUUUCUAUAUUUAUGUCAUUAGUGUAAUUAUAUUGUUAAACGUCUGAAUUUAAAGUGUUUUAUGUGUAAGAGUAAACAAACUCAUGCGCAUAUGCGUGUUACAUGCCAGACAGCGCACCGUUGUUAAACCACCUGCUAGCCUUUGCAAAAGUGUAUAAUGUCACUGUUCAGUGUUUAAUAUUUAAACUAUAGCAAUGCAUAUGACAUACAGUAACCAGCUUUGUUAGAUUAAUGUUAUGAAUGCAAUGUUAAUUGUUAAUCUUUAAUUAUUAAUUUUAUUUGCAAGUUAAUUGUUAUUAUCCACAAACCUUUGUUUGUGUCAGAUUUAGCUCAUCUCAAAUAAGCCUGUUAACUUUUGUUAUGCUAUUUACGUAAGGGAUAAUAUAUAGUGAGACGGUUGUUAUAGCGAAUGUUAGGUACUAUUAACCUUGUUUGUGGUGUUUUAGAUAUUAUUGUUAAUUUUGUUUAUUUGAAAAAUUUUAACAUUUAAGUGUUAUAUUUAUUAUUUUAUAUAAUAUUUUAUUUAAAUGUUAUUCUAUUUACUCUAUUUCAUUUAAAUUAUACAUAGGCUGUUGUUUGUGCCUCUUAA